GUGCUCGCUUUGGCAGCACAUUUACUAAAAUUGAAAUGAUACAGAGUAGAUUAGCAUGGCCCCCGUGCAAGGAUGACACCCCAAUUCAUGAAGCGUUCCAUAUUUAG
rnacentral:snRNA from 1 species